CUGACAGAGAGAAAUUACUGUCUCUUCAGACCUGAAGAAAGAAAUAAUGUUGAGAACUGCAGUUGACAGAUUUAAAUCGUGAGAGCAGCAGGUGGACUCUUUCUUCAGGACUCUGCAGGUUCUGGUCUCGGUUCUGAAUGUUUGUGAGGACGUCUCCUCAGCUUUAAACGUUUCUGUCUGAUCAUUUUGUCGUGUCUGGAUGAAGGCUGGAUCUGUCAUGGAUCACUGGCGGUACAAGCAGAUCCCUCCUAAAACUGAUCAGGACCAUGAGAACCAGAGCCAGACUCAGAGCUCUGAUCAGCCCAGACGAGUGUCAGUCAGUGAUCUUCGGCUGAUAUUUGAACGUCCAAAUGUUAAAGAUGGAUAUCAGACUGCUGAGAAAACACGCAUCAGUCACCAGAAACGAGCCUCGUCUCCAACCAGCAGUGUGUCUCUGAAGAGUGACUCGUCCAUGGAUCCAAUAGCUCAUUUCAAAGAUGGACACCAGUCUGAACA